rnacentral:rRNA from 1 species
UGGGAAUAUUGGACAAUGGGCGAAAGCCUGAUCCAGCCAUGCCGCGUGUGUGAAGAAGGUCUUCGGAUUGUAAAGCACUUUAAGUUGGGAGGAAGGGCAUUAACCUAAUACGUUAGUGUUUUGACGUUACCGACAGAAUAAGCACCGGCUAACUCUGUGCCAGCAGCCGCGGUAAUACAGAGGGUGCAAGCGUUAAUCGGAAUUACUGGGCGUAAAGCGCGCGUAGGUGGUUUGUUAAGUUGGAUGUGAAAUCCCCGGGCUCAACCUGGGAACUGCAUUCAAAACUGACUGACUAGAGUAUGGUAGAGGGUGGUGGAAUUUCCUGUGUAGCGGUGAAAUGCGUAGAUAUAGGAAGGAACACCAGUGGCGAAGGCGACCACCUGGACUAAUACUGACACUGAGGUGCGAAAGCGUGGGGAGCAAACA